rnacentral:rRNA from 1 species
AACGAACGCUGGCGGCAGGCUUAACACAUGCAAGUCGAACGCGCCCCGCAAGGGGAGCGGCAGACGGGUGAGUAACGCGUGGGAAUCUACCCAGUUCUACGGAAUAACCCAGGGAAACUUGGACUAAUACCGUAUACGCCCUACGGAGGAAAGAUUUAUCGGAAUUGGAUGAGCCCGCGUUGGAUUAGCUAGUUGGUGGGGUAAUGGCCUACCAAGGCGACGAUCCAUAGCUGGUCUGAGAGGAUGAUCAGCCACACUGGGACUGAGACACGGCCCAGACUCCUACGGGAGGCAGCAGUGGGGAAUAUUGGACAAUGGGCGCAAGCCUGAUCCAGCCAUGCCGCGCGAGUGAUGAAGGCCUUCGGGUUGUAAAGCUCUUUAGCCGACGAAUAUAAUGACUGUAGUCGGAGAAUAAGCCCCGGCUAACUUCGUGCCAGCCGCCGCCGUAAUAC